rnacentral:rRNA from 1 species
UAGGGAAUCUUCGGCAAUGGACGGAAGUCUGACCGAGCAACGCCGCGUGAGUGAAGAAGGUUUUCGGAUCGUAAAGCUCUGUUGUUAGAGAAGAACGUUGGUAGGAGUGGAAAAUCUACCAAGUGACGGUAACUAACCAGAAAGGGACGGCUAACUACGUGCCCGCAGCCGCGGUAAUACGUAGGUCCCGAGCGUUGUCCGGAUUUAUUGGGCGUAAAGCGAGCGCAGGCGGUUCUUUAAGUCUGAAGUUAAAGGCAGUGGCUUAACCAUUGUACGCUUUGGAAACUGGAGGACUUGAGUGCAGAAGGUGAGAGUGGAAUUCCAUGUGUAGCGGUGAAAUGCGUAGAUAUAUGGAGGACCACCGGUGGCGAAAGCGGCUCUCUGGUCUGUAACCGACGCUGAUGCUCGAAAGCGUGGGGGGCAAACAGG